CCGCCGGGACCAUCCGGUAAGGCUAAAUACUCCCGUGAGACCGAUAGCGAACCAGUACCGUGAGGGAAAGGUGAAAAGAACCCCGAGCAGGGGAGUGAAAGAGAUCCUGAACCCUUGCGCCUACAAGCGGUCGGAGCUGAUUAUAUCAGUGACGGCGUGCCUUUUGCAUAAUGAACCUACGAGUUACCAUCACAGGCAAGGUUAAGUCUCAUGAGAGACGCAACCGCAGUGAAAGCGAGGCUGAACAGGCCGUCGAGUCUGUGGGGGUAGACGCGAAACCAAGUGAUCUACACUUGUCCAGGUUGAAGUCCCGGUAACACGGGAUGGAGGACCGAACCAAUAAGCGUUGAAAAGCUUCUGGAUGAGAUGAGUGUAGGAGUGAAAGGCCAAUCAAACUUGGAGAUAGCUCGUACUCCCCGAAAGGCAUUUAGGUGCCGCGUCGGAUGUUCAGCGUGAGAGGUAGAGCGACCGAUAGGACAAGAGGGCUUCACCGCCUAUCGAGUCCUGACGAACUCCGAAUGCUCACGCUCCGCAGUCCGGCAGUAAGGGGACGGGUGCUAAGGUCCGUUCCCGAGAGGAGAAGAAUCCAGACCGCCGUCUAAGGUCCCGGAAUUCUGUCUAAGUUAGUCUAACGAAGUGGGGUCUCAGUGACAGCCAGGAUGUUGGCUUGGAAGCAGCCAUUCAUUCAAAGAGUGCGUAACAGCUCACUGGUCGAGAGUCCCUGCAUGGAUAAUAAUCGGGUAUAAGACAGAUACCGAAGGCGCGGGAUAGCAUAUUGAAAAAGUAUCGGUAGGGGAGCAUUCCAUAUCCGUCGAAUGGUGCGGGUAACUGAUCCUGGAGGAUAUGGAAAAGCAAAUGUAGGUAUAAGUAACGAUAAGGAGGGUAAGAUUCCCUCCCGCCGCAAGACUAAGGUUUCCCGGGCAAUGUCAAUCAUCCCGGGGUCAGUCGGGUCCUAAGUCUCAGCCGAACGGCGAGGGCGAUGGCAGACACGGUCAACAUUCCGUGACUACCUUUAGGAGCGAUGCGGAGACGGAGCAGUGACACUUCCGCGAGCCGACGGAAUGGCUCGUUAAAGAGUGUAGACGUUGAUUACGGCAGGCAAAUCCGCCGUGAGAGUCGAACUUGAAAGUACAGGGUCCUCUUCGGAGGAACUUGAUAGCGAGGGUAAGCAUACUCCCGAGAAAAUCCGCUAAGCAAUCCUAAAGGUACCCGUACCGUAAACGGACACACGUAGUCGGGUAGAACAUACUAAGGCGUUGAGAGAUUCAUGGUUAAGGAACUAGGCAAACUGACCCCGUAACUUCGGGAUAAGGGGUCCUCGUGAAAGCGAGGCGCAGAGAAUAGGUCCAGGCAACUGUUUAACAAAAACACAGGGCUGUGCGAACUCGAAAGAUGAAGUAUACAGCCUGACACCUGCCCGGUGCCGGAAGGUUAAGAGGAGAUGUCAACCGUAAGGCGAAGCAUUGAAUUGAAGCCCCGGUAAACGGCGGCCGUAACUAUAACGGUCCUAAGGUAGCGAAAUUCCUUGUCGGGUAAGUUC
rnacentral:rRNA from 1 species